AGCCGCCGCCUCCCGUCCCACUCGCCUCCCCCUCCUCGUCGCCCUCCUCUCUCUCUCUCUCUCUCUCUCUCUCUCUCUCUCUCUCUCUCUCCCCCUCGCGCCGGCCGGUUCCGGCCAGCUCCGGCCCGCGCGUCUCCCCCGCGACCCCCGCCUCCUCUCCUGCCGCCGCCGCCGCCGGAGAAGCUCGCCGCCGAUGCCCGUGACCUAGCCCGCGCGUCUCCCCCGCGACCCCCGCCUCCUCUCCUGCCGUCGCCGCCGCCGGAGAAGCUCGCCUCCGCGCCCACAAGCCUCGGAUCCGGCGGGAUUCGGGACGAGGAGGGGUGGAUGAGACGGGGGAGGAGGAGGAGGAGAGUGUGGGGGCGUCUGGGGAGGAAUAUCCCCGCCGCCUCCUCCGCUCCUGACGCAGGGCCUCGAGCCAUGGGGGCGUUCGUUGCAGGAACCUCGCCGCUGGCCUCCCGUGCGCGGCGCCCGGCCCUGGCAGCGCUGACCUCGCCGAUGGCCUCCUGUGCGGUACCUCUUCUUCCCCGACGACGCAUGCCCGCACAUCUCGCCCGCCGCCUCCAGCUACUCGCCGGCUUCGCCACCCGCGCCGCUGCCUGUCUUGCAAUGAGCGCCGGAGCAGCCUACGGACAAGAGUGGCGUUCAAGACAACAUGCGCAGCUUGGGAACCGCUGGCUGAAACUGCAAGUUGUUGUCUCUACCAAUUGGCCUUACCAAGCCGGGCUCCUUCUAUCUCGUGUUAGAGCUUGGUAACGACGGCCGCACAAUGACAAGGUUGGCAAUUAACAACUCUCUUCUUCGUGGCAUGGCUGCUUCACAGUUAGAUUGAUGCUGCUGUAUGUGGUUGAUGGAGGAAGCACGGGGAGGAGCAAAAACAAAUGGUGUUGGAGGAGGAAAAACAAAUGGCGAUCUCCAUGUAUGACUGUUUCUACAAGCUUAGAUUCAGCGAUUGGUUGUUGUGCAUUUGCAUGGUGUCCGCCUGAUCGAGAGGUACAAGGGGCUCAUUGGUCGCUUGGCCUGCUUUUGGUAUAUCAAUGAGGAUAUCCCUGACAUAAAUUCGUUUAGUGACAGUCUUGGAGAGAAAUUUACUACUGUCGAUGCACACACUCAUUCGGGGUAGAAUCUGAUCUCGAGUGCUGAUUGUUUCUCGAUUUCACGCCACUUCUUCUCCACCACACCCUUGCUCAGGCAUCAACAGCUUGUUGCCAUGGUUUGAAUCACACAUGUUCAGUUGAAUGGAUAUCUAAGAGGACCAAGGUGAUGUUGUUGUGAGAUAUUUGCAAAGGGAGUUGGUGACGUACAGUCAACUUGGUACAUUCAGCGUGCGUGUUCAGGUUCUUUGACACACUUGGGAUCGACGGAUCAUUCAUGCCAUGGUUGGAUUUGAAUGGGGGCAGCCGUUUGAAAUCAAAUUCAGAAGAUACACAACCUAAGAUCGAAAUAUUCCUACCUGAACCAAAGGGACAACCUACAAAUAUUGACCAAUAAAUUAUCCAUCAUAUGUAUCUUUCAUCCCACCACCCCCGCGUCAUCCUCUCCCUCAUGCCGAUUUGUUGCCCGACCGUGCAGACAACAUAGCAAUGACCAUUUAUCGGGUUGUUGUUGCCUUUGGGUUGCUCGCUGUAUCGACUGUCUUGUGAUUCCCCACCUGCUUGCCCUGCAUAUUUUCUAUUUGAUGAAAUGUAUACUAGCUAACUCCAUGUUCUUCUAUCAUUUUAUUUUACUUUGCAGGUUCUACUGUUUGUGACGUGCUUCUUGUUGAUCAUAUGCUGCUUUGGCACGUCAAGGGCCAAUGCUGGUGUUAGGACCACUGCGAUCACAAACAAAGCCAAGUAGCUGCUGCUCCGCUCUCUACUGAAGAAGCAUUUGUAGGUUAUUCUAUGCAUAAGACUGCGCUUUUAUGUGUCAUUUCCUUCAAGCUGUCAUUGCAACAGAAGAUGAAGUGUAUCUUCGUGAUCAGUAGAUCACUGCGUGAUGCCGCAUGUCGUAGUUCUAUCGCUACGUGGAAUGUGCCAGAAAUGCAAGGAAGAUAGACCCAUACAUGGCCGUGCAGUACCGGAGCCAGGAGCACAAGGGCGGCACCGCCCGAGACGUGAUGCACGCCGCCAGGUCCGCGCCGACAUCGUCCUCAUGGAGCCGCUGGCCUCUGCGUUGUGUUCUCCAUCUUGCAACGCAUGAUGAACUACACGGUAGAGUUCAGCCGAGGAAGAAUCAGGUGAUUCUGGAUUGUUGUGUAAUUGUUUAUAUUCCUAACUGAGAUGGGAUUACAGUUUAUUUGCUUGAUUAUUGGUCAUGUUUACUUAGAUAAUCCAUUGAUGGUUGAUCUGGUUAAGUACAUAUGCUACCCCUUGUUUGUUUAUAUUGCUAGCUGAGAUGGGAUUACAGUUUAUUUGCUUGAUUAUUGGCCGCAUUUACUUAGAUAACUCAUUGAUGGUUGAUCUUGUUAGCUACAGAUGCUACCCCUUGUUCUGAACAAGCUUUAAUUUUGGUGGACUAAUCCCAGUUUGACGUAGUUGCUGGUCAUCAACAAAAAGCCGACCACAUAAUCCUGUAUUUUAUUUCUGGGUCGUUUCAAAAUUUCUGCUCUACACAGAAUCUUAAGAAGUUUGGGUAUGCACACAGGUCCUAAUAAUAAUGAGCUGUUUAGUGCAAUGCAUGUGGCCUGAUUACUUCUUCUCUUUCCUUUUUUUAUGUUGUACGUUCUUGGAGGUCGCCUUUUCUUUCUUCUGUUGAUCAAGUUUUCUUCUUCUUUCUUCUGCUUAUCAGGGUUUCUUCCUUUCCUUUUUUCUGGAAAUUGCAUUUAUUGUGUGACCUAUGUACUUUCAUUAUUCUUGCUUCAUUGGUCGUGUUGAUAUUCUAGGUUUGGCCCGACAUUGUGUUUUCUUUUGCCUCAUGCCAUUCAUAUUUUGUGGUUGCGUGUGGACAUGAUUUGCGCGCUUAUUUCAAUUGUUAGCCGUGUAUCAUGGUGUGCUUUGCCUGCUUUUUUAUGCUUGUGUGAAUUGACCAUGGUCUGUUCUUGUUGGGGUAAAGCCUGAACUGCCGGCUACACUUUGGUUAUUGUCCUUAUUCUGGUUAUCCUUGGCAUCUUUCUAUCAGUGGAGAUCCUUGUUUUCAAGUAGCAGGGAUAGAGGGACAGAAAAGAUAUAUUUGUCGCGGCGCUGCAAGUGUUGCCCCCCUCCUCCCCAAGGGCAAGGUGAAGGAAGGUGCCUGUGUGGUUCUUCUGCAGUUCGCAGCGAGGAUUGCUGUGUCCAACCUGCACAAGAAUGCCAAGAAGUCCUUCUCGGAGACGAUUAAGGACAUGUACCUGCACUACAACGAGAGAUCUGGGCUGCUUCUUUGUGGCUUCCAAACUUGAAAUGUUUGUUUGGAAGUUAGUUUAGUUUUUUGUUGUGGAUUCACAGCUUCUCACAUGUACCAUCCUCUUAGACCUUUAGAUUUUCAAAGAAUCUAAAUGAAGAUAUGGUGGUAUGGUCUCAGUAGUACAAUUUAAAGCCUUCCAUGCUUUAUAUUUUCUUUGAAAUUUGCUCUUGAAGAAUCAUGUAUCUAUGUUUGAUUUGGUGAGAAAAGGCGGCUUUCAAGCA